CCUACGGGCGGACAGCAGUGAGGAAUAUUGUUCAAUGGACGAAAGUCUGAACCAGCCAAUUAGCGUGAAGGAUGACUGCCCUAUGGGUUUUCACCUUCUUUUAUAUGGGACUAUAAUGUUCCACGUUUGGGAUUUUGUAUGUACCAUAUGAAUAAGGAUCGGCUAACUCCGUGCCAGCAGCCGCGGUAAUACGGAGGAUCCGAGCGUUAUCCGGAUUUAUUGGGUUUAAAGGGAGCGUAGGUGGAUUGUUAAGUCAGUUGUUAAAGUUUGCGGCUCAACCGUAAACUUGCAGUUGAAAGUGGCAGUCUUGAGUACAGGAGAGGUGGGCGGAAUGCGUGGUGUAGCGGUGAAAUGCUUAGAUAUCACGAAGAACUCCGAUUGCGAAGGCAGCUCACUGGACUGCAACUGACACUGAGGCUCGAAAGUGUGGGGAUCAAACAGGAUUAGAUACACUUGUAGUC
rnacentral:rRNA from 1 species